CUCUGGAUGUGGCAGCUGGACAGUUGUAAGCAGUGACCCUGCUCAGACUGUGUGGGUCCCGAGCAAGCACCGGCUUUCUGAUCUCUCUCAGGCCACCUCUGUGUGACAGACAGCCGGGACCUGUCUUUGUGGCCUUGGGUAUCUGACUCCUGAGGUACUCGAGACUGGUGCUUUGGUAUUACAGUGGGGAGCUGCCCCCAGGCUAAAACACAUGAGACCCAAGCUGGGUGUUGUUCCACCCCCAGGACUGCAACCCUGUCCUGUCUGCUCAUGCUAUGUCUUUGGGGUGAGGGUGAUGUUGGGGUUCUUGAUCCUUCUUCCAAAGUCCCUUAGGUACCAAAAACCAACCUAACAGGUUGACCAUGUGCCACAUACAAAGCCCUGAGGACCCACCUUUGCAGGGUGGAGCCUGAAAUAGCUGUCUCACACUGCCUGAUGGAUCCCUUAACCAGGAAGUCCUUUACUACCCAAGGCAGGGAAUAAAAAUGCUCCAACUCAGAGGGAUCCAUACCCAAAACUGUCCCCCACCCUCCAAGCCAUCAGCUUCCCUGCCCUUGCUUGUAGACCAACAGGGCCAGCCCCCACUGGGGACUCCUCAGAAAUGGGGUGAAGAACGGCUCUCCACCCCCAUCGUACCGCUGCUCUAUGAUGCUGAGACACCAAAGGAUUUCCGAUUCGAGUUACUGAUCAUGUUUUGGGAAGCACGCAUCCAGGAUCCCGUCUCCCCACCUUGAAUCCCUCUGGCUUCCCCUCCCUUCACAAUCCCCAUUACAUAAACGCAAAAGCCAUAGUCACAGCCCCUCGCUCUUCUGUCCAGAGCAGCCCCUGCAGCCUUGGGGGCAAACAAAACGCUCGUUCCCACCUAGCCGAGGAACCGUGGAGAAGGUUCGUGAAAAAAAAAAAAAAGAUAUAUUUUUUUAAGAGGAAUGUGACCAAGACAUUCUGCCCCUUGGACACUGGCCACACAAAAGGAAGGGCCGGAGACUGGACCUGCUUCCCUUCUCCAACGCUCUCAUCCGAGGGUUUGGACUACCCCAGGGCUCGGCCAAGGGGGCUCUGAAUGUAUUUUGUAUGGUGUUUCCCCACCCCAGACUAAUUUCUAGUUUUCUUUCACUGGGUAGCAGAGGGCCUGGCCUCCCCUCCUACUUGGAGGUCAGCUCUCUCUGAGAGACUCUGGGUCCAGAACCUGGGCCAGUUCCUUGCUAGUGGCCCCGUCUGGUCACAAACUUUCUGUUUGAAGAUUCCUCAGGUUAACACUAUCAUUAAAAGAAAGUUUUGUUGCUAA
rnacentral:lncRNA from 1 species